AUGACAAAGUUUAGGGUUUCUUUAUAUCCUAAAUUCCUCUUUACCCUUUAUUCCCUUAGCCGUUUUUUAACAUUAUCUCCUCAUUUUCAAGAUCUUUUCUUAUCUUGUCUCCUUCAUUUUCUUGCGAUUCCAUUCUCUCUUGAAGAAAAUCAACCAUGGAUUAUACUUCCUCCACCCUCCCGUUAUCUUCUCCAAUUCGAUAUUUGCGAUUCAAAAAAUAUGGAGAAAUGUAAGCUUCGAAUCGUCAUCUCUAUUAUAUCGAGAUCUUAAUACUAACAAGGUGUGUCAUGGAUGAGAGAUUCAUUCAUUAGUUAGAAGACGGAAAACAUACAAUGUCAAUUUGUUUAGUGCAGAUUUGCUUACAUUACUUAGAUUUAUUCAACUUUGUAAAUAAUACUGUGUAUAAUGUAAUAGUAUAGAAACUCAGAUCUAUAAUUCUUGUACUCCUUAUUUGAUUAAUAAUAAUUAUAUUUUCAAUA